rnacentral:lncRNA from 1 species
GAGACAAGGCUAGACUUACGUAGGUCUCGCUAGACUUACGUAGGUCUCGCCUUGUUUCUUCCCACAUGUGAUUCCAAUAUCUUUCUUCUCUUUUUUUUUUCCAAAUAUUACAACGGUAGUCUGUAAUCUACCCUAAACUAAUCAAAUUAGAGGAGAAAUAGCAAGACCCAUGUUUUUAUUUUACGAGGAAAUAGCAAAGCCCGCGUUUUCUGGUUACGGGGUUUUUACGACGUUUCUACUUACGUGGAAUUAAAAAGUCCUGCGUUCUUUAUUUUUUUAUUUUCCUCGGUAUUUCCUCGUUAGUUUACGAGUUUGUUACGACGAUUUCUUCUUACGUGGAAUUAAUGAGUCCCGCGUUCUUUAUUUUUUAAUUUCAUCGUUAUUUCCUCAUUAUGUUACGAGGAAAUUACGAAGAUUAUGUUUAAAUCCCUAAAAUAUGAAACCCCAAACCCUAUCUUCCUUAUCUUCUACUUCAUAUAUUCCAAACCCCAAACUCAUCUUCCCUUUUACCUAAAUCUAUUCUUUCCAUUCCAAACCCCAAAUUCUAAAACCACAAUUCCUUAACUUAUAAUCUCAAUCUCUUAUUUCUAAUACAAACUACCAUUACCUUACACAAAAUAAAAUUAUAUAAAUAGUUUUUCAUGAUUAAAUCCAUCAAAUCACAUGCAUGCGUUAAGUCUGAAAAUCAAUCUUAUUAAAAACAAAUACAUCAAUCGGAUACAUCGACAUUCUCGUCAUCACUUGAAAAUCAUCAUUUUCAUUAAACUCGUCUUCAACAACUUCGUCCGUGGCAUCGUCGGUAAGAUCUUCGUACUCAUGAUUAUGCGG